rnacentral:rRNA from 1 species
GACGAACGCUGGCGGCGUGCUUAACACAUGCAAGUCGAACGGAAAGGCCCUGCUUUUGUGGGUUGCUCGAGUGGCGAACGGGUGAGUAACACGUGAGUAACCUGCCCUUGACUUUGGGAUAACUUCAGGAAACUGGGGCUAAUACCGGAUAGGAGCUCCUGCUGCAUGGUGGGGGUUGGAAAGUUUCGGCGGUUGGGGAUGGACUCGCGGCUUAUCAGCUUGUUGGUGGGGUAGUGGCUUACCACGGCUUUGACGGGUAGCCGGCCUGAGAGGGUGACCGGCCACAUUGGGACUGAGAUACGGCCCAGACUCCUACGGGAGGCAGCAGUGGGGAAUAUUGCACAAUGGGCGGAAGCCUGAUGCAGCAACGCCGCGUGCGGGAUGACGGCCUUCGGGUUGUAAACCGCUUUCGCCUGUGACGAAGCGUGAGUGACGGUAAUGGGUAAAGAAGCACCGGCUAACUACGUG